GUCAGGAUGGCCGAGCGAUCUAAGGCGCCAGACUCAAGUUUGAAAACUUGCUCCGCUACUGCGCAGCCAAAGGACGUUCUGGUCCACUAAUGUGGCCCGGGUUCGAAUCCCACUCCUGACA